rnacentral:rRNA from 1 species
AACGAACGCUGGCGGCAUGCCUAACACAUGCAAGUCGAACGAACCCUUCGGGGUUAGUGGCGCACGGGUGCGUAACGCGUGGGAAUCUGCCCUUUGCUUCGGAAUAACUCAGGGAAACUUGUGCUAAUACCGGAUGAUGUCUUCGGACCAAAGAUUUAUCGGCAAGGGAUGAGCCCGCGUAGGAUUAGGUAGUUGGUGGGGUAAAGGCCUACCAAGCCGACGAUCCUUAGCUGGUCUGAGAGGAUGAUCAGCCACACUGGGACUGAGACACGGCCCAGACUCCUACGGGAGGCAGAAGUGGGGAAUAUUGGACAAUGGGCGCAAGACUGAUCCAGCAAUGCCGCGGGAGUGAUGAAGGCCCUCGGGUCGUAAAGCUCUUUUACCAGGGAUGAUAAUGACAGUACCUGGAGAAUAAGCUCCGGCUAACUCC